UACGAAGGGGGCAAGCGUUGUUCGGAAUUACUGGGCGUAAAGGGCGCGUAGGCGGCCUGCUAAGUCGAACGUGAAAUCCCCGAGCUCAACUCGGGAACUGCGUCCGAUACUGACAGGCUUGAAUCCGGGAGAGGGAUGCGGAAUUCCAGGUGUAGCGGUGAAAUGCGUAGAUAUCUGGAGGAACACCGGUGGCGAAGGCGGCAUCCUGGACCGGCAUUGACGCUGAGGCGCGAAAGCUAGGGGAGCAAACGGG
rnacentral:rRNA from 1 species